UCUACCAAGAUGGAGAUGGCCUGAACCCUGCCAGCCCUUCUCUCUGUUCAAGGUGGCUAACUCUGUGUGGCUUUCAGCAGAGGCUGCCAAAGUUGGACAGAAAUCUGCUAAAGGUGCUUAAAUACCCAAAGGUGGAGGCUGGAUGAGGAGGCAGAAUUUACCUCGAAAAAAAGGAAGACUUUACGGAGUGCUUGCAAGCCACUUCGGAAAUCUGACCUUGAAGCAUCCAGCGCAUCCUUGUUGCCACAUUGCAGGAGCCAUCCUCUCACCCAGAGGAGGAUGAGAGGUAAUAUUGCAAAUGGGAAGAGUUGCCAGUAUGAAGAAGACCACCCCUUCCUGGGAGCUACCUUUUCUAUGGGUUUGCCAAGCACAGUCUGCCGGUUCACCAAUAGGCCACGGGCUUUAAGAUUCUGCAAACAUUCAUAUAGGCAACAGUUCAAAGCUGCCAAUUUGAAGACAAGACUUUGCUCAGUAGCAGAAGUAAUGAAG
rnacentral:lncRNA from 1 species